GUUCUAUGACAGGUGAACUGACUGAGGCUUACAGGAAGGAAGCCACCUGUCCAGGUCCACAGUGGAUCUGGGACUCCAGAUGGAGGCCAGAGGAAGCCCGCGGUCCUCCUGGGCACACGACCAGCUGGCGCUCCAUCCCAGGUCUCCACCCACUCAACGGGUAUCCUACAUGUCAGGCUCCUGACCCUAGCCCCUUCCUCUCUAUGGACCCGGCUCAGCCCCAUAUCCAUCGAAUAAGGGCCCAGGAGCCAGAGGGGUCCUUCCAAAUUGAGGAACUUAAAAAAAUUUUUCGAAAGGCUCAUUUUCUGAGAGAGAGAGGGUCCCGGCUGCAGCUGAACUGUCACCUCCUCAAAAGCUCCUCCCCUGAGGCUCCCGGCUAAGCACCGCCACCCGGGCACACACGUCACCCCACGAAUUCAAGGUGCGGGACACGGCCACCGCAGCCUGCUGAAGACCGGUCCUGCCUUCUCCCACCUGCCUCCGGAAGGCGACGAAGCACCCCCUCCAGGCUACCCGAGGGGUGACCGAAACGAUCAUGGUUGACACACGCUGACACUCAAAGUUCACUGCUGGCUGGCCUCCAGGCUGAGGUCCUUCCUCCCUCUCACCAUCCUCCGGUCAACAAGGGAGACUCCUGGGCUCAGAGAGGUACCUGUGUCAUUGUCCAGGGACGUAAGAGCAGGGGUCAGCUGACCUGUUCUGUGAGGGACCAGAGGUCAAGUGUGUUCAGCUGUACGGGCCCAACAGUCUCUGUCACAACCGCGCCGCUCUGCUGGCGGGGACAGGAAAACAGCCGCAGGCAAUACGCAAACGACCGACCGCGCGUGUCUGUGCCAAGAAAACUUUAUUGACACCGACGUCGUAUCGCUUCGCGUGUCGCAAAACAACCCUUCUUCUGAAAUGUUUUCAGCCACGGAAACGCAAACAUCUCGGGGCGCCCGGCUGGCUCAGUGGGUAGAGCACGUGACUCUAGAUCUCAGGGUCGUGAGUUCAAGCUCCGCUUCGGGCGUGGAGCUCACUUUAAAACACAGAAAGGAGGGGUGCCUGGGUG